GAAAGCUUUUCACUUCGAGUACUUUUACAGUUUAUCACACAACACGGUACUUGACGGAGAAAAUGCAGAUGACCCAUCACGGAUGAAGAGAGAACGGAGUUGGAGAGUUCAAUUUGUGAGUGAAAGAUGGACUGAAAGUGAAAAUCUUAGCAGCUGGAUGGUUUUCAUGACAACAGCUGCUAACCAAGAUUCUGCAAACUAGAUUUUCAUCUUCAUUUGUAAGUUUUGAUCUUGCUUGCUUAAUUUUUCCUCGUUUUUGCUUGUCAAAAAAUUCGAAGAUUCAAUUUCUUGAAGUUUUUUAAGAGACCCAUUUGCAAUCAUACGACCUGACUGAAAUGUUUGAUGUAUUUGGGAAUUUGAGAUUCAGUAAAGUUUGAUUUUUAUUACAGUUUUAUCAACAGAUUUCAUGAAUCAUGAUUUUACAAUUUCUAAAUAUUACAUGAAUCUGUUGAUUUGACAUACUGUAAAAUUUAAUUUCAGGAUUUAGGAAUUUGAUUUGCAAUUUUUUUAUUCUAGAUUUCUUCUUAUUCUUCUCUUUACGAGAAUUGUUGGCAUAGAAAUCUGUUCUUUUUAUUUUGUGCUUUUCAUUUCCUCGUUAUUUGAUUUAAACACAUUUUUGUGUUUUUAUGUAGGUGGCGUCUGAAAUAUUUACAGUUUUCCCCCCUAUUUUUGCAAAUAUAAGUUCAUUCUCAGCGGUCAGAUUUUAGCAUGUGGUUGGACUUAAUUUUAAAAAGUUUUGUCCCUUUAUUGUGAUUUCUCCUUUGCAAAUUUUUCUUUGAAAAAAAGAAAAAAAGAAAAAAAAAAAACCCUUGUGUAGAUAGUUGAUCAAUUUGUAUAAGCUCACAAAUUUUGUGAAUUAAAUGCCUUCUAUUUUUAAAAAAAUAAAUAAAUUCUUUACUCUCUCUUUAAUGAAUCAUUGUAGGAUUUUUUACUUAAAUAAUAUCAGCACUGCUGUUUUAUGAAAUGAUGCUACUUUUAUUUUAUUUUUAUUUUUUCCCCUUUUGUUUUCUAUUGUCUUUGGUAGAUCAAGAAGACUGCUGUAUCAUUUUUUCAAACUUGAUGAGGUCCACUUACAUUUCGAGCUUGCAAUGUGAAAAAGAAAUCCCAACAACGUUGUAUUUACUUAUCCCCUGCUGCAGGUUUUUUUUGAAUAUUAGCUUAGAGGCCAUUCCGGUGGAAUUGUAUUUUCUUUUUAUCUUCUGAUUGGUGCCUGACUGGGCAGGUAACUUUAAAUUUCACUGUUUCAAUUCUAUAGAUCGUUAUAUGAAAGCAUAAAGUGUUGAAUUUCCAGUGAAAUAAUUAGCUCACUUUUGCAACAUCAUGUUUGUUUUUGUCAUUCUGAUGUCUAGGUUCAAGAAACCUGUCAUAAUUCGGCUGAAUUUUGAAUUCUUAUACUGGCCUGGAUCAGUUAUCUGGAUUAUAAGGGACAAGCUUUCCCCAAGUCAAAGGCAUUUGCAUUUUUGUUAUUUGCUGGAGUUAUGGGAACUUUGUUACACU
rnacentral:lncRNA from 1 species